AGUAAAUAUAAGUAGAUUUUUUCCACCACAGAAUUAUUGUUAUUAUUCUAAUUAUUAUAAUUAAUGUAGCUUGUUAUGAGCAUGUUAGCAUGUUACUCUGAGUGUAUUAUUGUAAACAUGUUAGCAUGUUAUGGUGAACAAAUUAUCAUAAGUGUGUUACUUUGACCAAGUUAGCAUGCUACCAUGAGUGUUUCGGUACUUUAGUGUUAGAAUGUUAGCGCUUUAUUGUUUAGAAUGUUUGCAAUCUAUUGUGAGCAUGUUUACAUGUUAGUGUCAGCAUGUUAGCCCUUUAAUGCUAGCAUGUUAGCCCUUUAUUGUUUAGAAUGUUAGCAUGUUACUGUGAGCAUGUUUACAUGUUAGUGUCAGCAUGUUAGCCCUUUAAUGCUAGCAUGUUAGCGCUUUGUUUAGCACUUUGAGAAAGCUAGCAUGUAAACUGUGAGCAUGUUUACGUUAGUGUCAGCGUAUUAGCCCUUUAAUGCUAGCAUGUUAGCGCUUUGUUUAGCACUUGCAUGUAAACUGUGAGCAUGUUCCACUUUCUUGUUUCUGUAAGCAUAUUAGCAUUUUACUGUCAGUGUACACAUGUGUUCUGUCUACAAAUGAUCGACAUGACAGUAAACCUGAGCUCCGUCUGACAAGUUUGUGCUGCAAUAAUUGCCCUUAAUAAGAACACAGACUGCCUUUUGUUCAAUAAAGACUCUAUCUAUCUA